rnacentral:rRNA from 1 species
AUACGGAGGUGGUUAGCGUUGUUCGGAAUUACUGGGCGUAAAGCGCACGUAGGCGGAUUAGUAAGUUAGAGGUGAAAUCCCAGGGCUCAACCCUGGAACUGCCUUUAAUACUGCUAGUCUUGAGUUCGAGAGAGGUAAGUGGAAUUCCUAGUGUAGAGGUAAAAUUCGUAGAUAUUAGGAGGAACACCAGUGGCGAAGGCGGCUUACUGGCUCGAUACUGACGCUGAGGUGCGAAAGCGUGGGGAGCAAACAGGAUUAGAAACCCUUGUAGUCC